rnacentral:misc_RNA from 1 species
GCGGUGCUGGUGAUGCCAAUAUCACUGAUAGACGAGAUCAGUAUGCACUGGUAUCUAGGACCCGCCGUCUGCGACAUGUGGAUUUCCUUUGAUGUACUGUGCUGUACCGCUUCCAUUCUUCACUUGGUGGCUAUUUCCUUGGAUAGAUACUGGGCUGUGUCAAACAUUGACUACAUCCGAAGGAGAUGUACGAAACAAAUAUUAAUUAUGGUUGCUGUCGUUUGGGUGGUCGCAAUUGCGAUUUCAAUAGCACCGCUGUUUGGAUGGAAAGACCAAAAUGACCACCCGGAAGAAACUGGCGUUUGUAAGAUAAGCCAGGACAAAGCGUAUACAAUCUUUUCUACUGUUGGGGCGUUUUAUUGUCCUUUGAUUUUAAUGGUUGUGUUGAAUUUUAAAAUAUAUAGAGCUGCGCGUUCUCGUAUUCGAAAAAAGCAUAUAAAUGGAAUGCAUAGGCCUAUUCGUGCCUAUAAAAGACCUUCCAUAACAGCCGCUGACGCGACAACACGUCAUAAUAGUUCCGGAAGUGACAUCAGCCAAGAUGGAUACACUGUGUAUAACGGCGAACACCAAAACGAGGAGCAAGAAGCCGUGUUCAAUGAGGCGGAACAUGACGAAAAUGCAGAAGUAAACACGAGGUUCUUAGUGGUCCCCUCCAAUGUGUACGUACUGAAUAAACAGUUAAAUCCUCCAAAAAAUACCAACAAUAACAAUACUAAACAUAUGGCAUACUGUGAUAAAGAAAGACUCCGGAAGGCCAAGAUUGAAAUGAAGAGAGAGAGGAAGGCAGCUCGUGUCUUGGGGAUCAUUACCGGAGCGUUUAUCGUCUGCUGGCUCCCAUUCUUCCUGUUAGCUCUAAUCUCGCCAUUUUGUCCUUCGUGUGACUUUCACCCCGCCAUGUUUAGUGUCUGUUUGUGGUUAGGGUAUCUGAACAGUCUGCUGAACCCAAUUAUCUAUACCAUAUUUAAUCCAUCUUUUAGAAAUGCAUUCCGGAAAUUAAUAUUCAAAAGGCAUAGAAGGAGACGAUGAUAACAAAAGAGACAAUGUUUACUUUUCAUUUUCUGAUGUUGCGUUAUCAAUAACACUUUGCCAUUGUUUUCAUAUAUUACCGAUACUGGUUGAUUACGUGGGGCCCAGAUGCAUAAUAUCUUUUGUUGGCAAACUUGUUGAUUGUUUUUAAUUUGAUGUUCAUGCUACUCAAAGCGGCAAUGUUGUUUUACGAAUGUCAUAUAUGGUACAUGUAUUAUUCAACUGAUUAAGUUAUGACACGGUUAACGGUUAAUUUUUGAAAUAUUUCUCUUCUUUUUUUUUGUCAUCCUUUGUGUUUGAUUCAAGUUACUGUUAUUUGUCUUGUCAAUAACUUGACCUCCUGUUGUCACCCUUACUUUGCCAUUUCUCUCGUUCUGUCAUCACAAGCAGCAUUUUAAGUUUUGCCCGUUGGAUUUCAUUAAUAACAGAAAUAUAUGUUUAUCAAUGAAAGUUCAAGUGUAUGUUUAUUCAUCAGAUUUAGUUUGUCUAUUCAAGAGCGAGUUUUCCCUGUCUCUUUGGUCCCAAAACAGGGAAAACUUCGCCAACAUGAAACACGUGUAAAAUCCGCCAUGUAUCAUUCAGUCUUCAAAUCAAAAAUAUAGAUCUAUUAUUGUGAUGGAUGUCGAUCAAUUGUUCAGAAUAAUUGUUUCUGUAUUUUCAUUGUCUAUCAGUUGUUUGAAUAAAACUUUAUCAAAAAUC